GACGAACGCUGGCGGCGUGCUUAACACAUGCAAGUCGAACGGAAAGGCCCUGCGUUUGUGGGGUGCUCGAGUGGCGAACGGGUGAGUAACACGUGUGUAACCUGCACUUGACUUUGGGAUAACUUCAGGAAACUGGGGCUAAUACCGGAUAGGAGCUCCUGCUGCAUGGUGGGGGUUGGAAAGUUUCGGCGGUUGGGGAUGGACUCGCGGCUUAUCAGCUUGUUGGUGGGGUAGUGGCUUACCAAGGCUUUGACGGGUAGCCGGCCUGAGAGGGUGACCGGCCACAUUGGGACUGAGAUACGGCCCAGACUCCAACGGGAGGCAGCAGGGGGGAAUAUUGCGGAAUGGGCGGAAGCCUGAUGCAGCAACGCCGCGUGCGGGAUGACGGCCUUCGGGUGGAAAACCGCUUUGGCCGGUGACGAAGCGUGAGUGACGGUAAUGGGUAAAGAAGCACCGGCUAACUACGUG
rnacentral:rRNA from 1 species